GAUGGACGCUGGCGGCGUGCCUAAUACAUGCAAGUCGAGCGAACGGACGAGAAGCUUGCUUCUCUGAUGUUAGCGGCGGACGGGUGAGUAACACGUGGAUAACCUACCUAUAAGACUGGGAUAACUUCGGGAAACCGGAGCUAAUACCGGAUAAUAUUUUGAACCGCAUGGUUCAAAAGUGAAAGACGGUCUUGCGGUCACUUAUAGAUGGAUCAGCGCUGCAUUAGCUAGUUGGUAAGGUAACGGCUUACCAAGGCAACGAUGCAUAGCCGACCUGAAAGGGUGAACGGCCACACUGGAACUGAGACACGUUCGAGACUCCUACGGGAGGCAGCAGUAGGGAAUCUUCCGAAAUGGGCGAAAGCCUGACGGAGCAACGCCGCGGGAGUGAUGAAGGUCUUCUGAUCGUAAAACUCUGUUAUUAGGAAAGAACAUAUGUGUAAGUAACUGUGCACAUCUUGACGGUACCUAAUCAGAAAGCCACGGCUAACUACGUG
rnacentral:rRNA from 1 species